rnacentral:rRNA from 1 species
CCUACGGGUGGCUGCAGUGAGGAAUAUUGGUCAAUGGGCGUAAGUCUGAACCAGCCAAGUAGCGUGAGGGAUGACUGCCCUAUGGAUUGUAAACUUCUUUUAUAAGGGAAUAAAACGUGGCACGUGUGCCUUUUUGCAUGUACUUUAUGAAUAAGGAUCGGCUAACUCCGUGCCAGCAGCCGCGGUAAUACGGAGGAUCCGAGCGUUAUCCGGAUUUAUUGGGUUUAAAGGGAGCGUAGAUGGGCUUUUAAGUCAGUGGUGAAAGUUUGUGGCUCAACCGUAAAAUUGCCAUUGAUACUGGCAGGCUUGAGUAUAUUUGAGGCAGGCGGAAUGCGUGGUGUAGCGGUGAAAUGCUUAGAUAUCACGCAGAACCCCGAUUGCGAAGGCAGCUUACCAAGCCGUGACUGACACUGAUGCUCGAAAGCGUGGGGAUCAAACAGGAUUAGAUACCCCUGUAGUC